UAUAGAGGUAAACAGCACAGACUCCAAGUGUAACAGCACUGUAAUGUCUUUACGUUGCAGCAGGGCUAUCAGUUAAAAAAAAAAAAAAAAAAAAAGACUUUCCUUUCCUUACUCUGACUCUAAACUGCACCAACCCUGGUGAGAUGGAAAUUACUCCAAGCUUUCUCCUUGGAAGAAACUUCUUGCCCUCUUCUCUUGGUUUUUGGUGAGCAGCACCGUGCUCCUCAUGAUCUGGUAUCACUGACUCAGCUCUGGGGACCGGGAUUUACAUCAGGAACUUUCCAGCUCUGGAUGGAGGCACCAGCUCGCCGUGUGCUGUGGGAGAAGCUGCCCCCCUGCACCCCCACUGCUCCCAGUUCUUCAGGCAAGCUUUGCAGGGAAAUGCCCAGUUUUGUGUUUACUCCCUGCUGUCCCUGGUGCUUCUCUGACCCUGCACCCUUUAGAGUUUCAACAGCUGAUUUCUUCUAUCAGUCACCAGUUGUCCUGUCCUGGAGAACAUCUUGCACAAGUUGGCUCACAGCCUUUUAAUUUUUUCCUGGAGUGUGAGGAGGUGCAGCAGCUCAGAGGAGGAGGGAGAUCAUGCACUGAAGUGGAUGAAGGAGAAAGAGGAGCCAUUGUUCCCCACGGCCCCGGGGUACGGCUGGAAGUCUCACGUUACUGGUUUUCUCCGAAGAGCACAGCAGGAGUGACUGACCUGACCUCCC